CUCAACUUUAUUAGAAGAGACGCAUUUAUUAGAUAAAAAGCCAGUUCAUGCUUUUAUAGUAUGAAAAUUGGUGAUUUAUAAUAACUUAGCAAAUCGCAAAGUGAAAACAGGCGAUAAAUCAUUCAAGUUUCUGACCUAUCAGCUUUCGACGGUAUGGUAUUGGCUUACCGUGGCAGUGACGGUUAACGGGGGAUUAGGGUUCGAUUCCGGAGAGGGAGCCUGAGAAACGGCUACCACAUCUAAGGAAGGCAGCAGGCGCGCAAAUUACCCAAUUCUAACAGUUUGAGAGAGGUAGUAACAAGAAAUAACAAUACAAGGCAGUUAAAAUGCUUUGUAAUUGGAAUGAUAGAAAUUUAAACCCUUUUUAAAGUAUCAAUUGGAGGGCAAGUCUGGUGCCAGCAGCCGCGGUAAUUCCAGCUCCAAUAGCGUAUAUUAAAAUUGUUGCAGUUAAAAAGCUCGUAGUUGAAGUUCUGCUGAAAGUAACCGGUCUGCUUUUAAUAAAAGUGGUAUCUUGGUAUGUAUUUAGCAAUGAUGUCCUUUGAAGUGUUUUUUACUUUAUUGUAAUAAAGCAUAUUCAGGACUUUUACUUUGAGAAAAUUAGAGUGUUUCUAGCAGGCUAACGCUUUGAAUACUGCAGCA
rnacentral:rRNA from 1 species